GCCACGCACGCGCCGCCCCAGGACCGCUCGGUCCUCCAGGCGACGGCUCGGCAGCGGGACCCUCCACUCCCCAUACCCAGGACCACGGCAAGAGGCGACUGUCCAGCCGACCGUCUCUACCUCCCCCCAGGCUGCGGCUGACGCUGGGGGUCCGCUGGGGCACGAACAGGAAGGAAUCCUCGUGGCCCGGCACCCGGUCCCUGGCACGGAGCACUCAACACCCGGUUCCUGGCAGGGUGCACCCAGCACCCGGUCCUGGCGUGGAGCACUCAGCACCCAGUCUCUGACACAGAGCACCCAGCUCCUGGUCCCUGGCACACAGCACUCAGCACAGGGCAGAGUCAAGCAGGAGGUUUCCCAGGGAAACCUGCGCUCUGCUAAAGCCAGUCAAAGGCCAGGAGGAGUCGCCUCGGACACGUGUUGAGUGAACCCCCGGAAAGCUGCCCUCUGCGGAUCUAAGUGGUUUCCCCACCUGGAAAAUGUGGAUAGCCCCGAAUGUGAGGCUCUUGCCAAAUCCAUAAAGUCAUCCUCCCUGUCCUUGGGGUGUUCUGUGACCUUCCCGAGACCCUGCACAGCACGUUUAGAUUAGGUACAUCCAAACACACAAAGUAAUUCAUCCUCUUUGUAUAUUAAGUAUCUUAUUUUGGAUUUUUGCCAUGAAACUGGAUUUGAAGGAAUAUUUAUUCUACUUUUGGAUUUAUUUGGCUAUAAAGAAGUCAUUUAAGUUGCUAUUGUC